rnacentral:rRNA from 1 species
UACGGGGGGGGCAAGCGUUGUUCGGAAUUACUGGGCGUAAAGGGCUCGUAGGCGGCCAACUAAGUCGGACGUGAAAUCCCCAGGCUCAACCUGGGAACUGCGUCCGAUACUGGAUGGCUUGAAUUCGGGAGAGGGAUGCAGAAUUCCAGGUGUAGCGGUGAAAUGCGUAGAUAUCAGGAGGAACACCGGUGGCGAAGGCGGCUUUCUGGACAGAUACCGACGCUGAGGCACGAAAGCUAGGGGAGCAAACAGG